CUAGCCAUCCUGAUCCUAUCUGAUCCUGGACUUUAUCUGUUCCUGCUGUUUCUGUGGUUUGAACCUUUGUGCCUGUUUAUCACCUGCCUAUCUGCCUUGCUACUUUGAACUGGGUACCUGUUUUGGACUAGCUCUCAUUGCUACCUAACAAAGCCAUUCACAACAUCCACUGUGAAGAGAUGAGAGGUCAUCAACCAGGAGUCAGUGGACGACCGAAGAUGGAUCAAGGAGGACAUUCACAUUUGACACCAGAGACCAUCUUUGAACAGACCCACCUCCUUCCCAUUACCACCAUGACCUCCAGGAUGUCCAGAGACUUUCCAUCAACCACCUGCUGGCUGAACAGCACCAGUGUCUAGACUCCAUUUAUAUUCUUAUGAUAUUUAUCAUUACUUUUAUAAAUUUAAAUACUGCAGCUAAAGGAAGUAUAAACUGAGCCUUGACAAGACCUCACCUUUAACUCUGAGAUGUUGAG